AUGAAACAUCAGGAGAGACUGCCUCUAGACCAUGUCCAUAUAGCCCGAAAAAACCUACAACAACCCAAUUAUAACAUGCAUCCCACUUUACCCGCCAUGGCGACAUCCUAUGGAAUACUGGGUUUUGCAGUUUAUGGAGGGAAUUUAGAAUUUCUCAGGCGGAGAACUCCAUCACACUAUAAAUCCCAGGCAUGGCUGUUAAUGUGGAAUCAUAAUACUUUAAUUGUAGAACUGCCAUUGUCAUCAAUACCCUAAAAGUACUAAAGUGAGCAGCAGAUAAAGCAGCAUUGGUAUCAGUCUUGAGACAAUGGCUUGUAACUCAAAAGGUUGCCACCUAUAAAACAGACUCUUAGUUCUACCAUUUGCAUUAGCAGCAAUAAUGGGGUUAUCAAACAAUAGGCAACUCUUCUAUUUUUUUUUCCGACACCAUAUCCCAUUAGCUAUGUCUUUGAAAAUCUUUCACCCAAUAUAUAUGAUAGUUUUAUAUAAGUUAGAAAACAAGUUAGCAUCAGCAGCAAUUAAAGGUAAAUAUGACAUUCACCUGUCUACAUUUUGGAAACCCCUUGACUUUUUUGUUUUUUCGAAACAUUUCACUAAAAACAAAAGAACUAGCAAAGCCAGGGGUGUCUCAACCAUUACGCAAAGUAAGCAUUCGCAGUAUAGUUGGUUUUGCCCAGGGGUGCUCUUGAGGCACUCUUGGGGGAAAAUAGACCUUGACAUAUGUGAGUUGUAGUUACUGGGAUGUAUAGUUCACCUACAAUCAAAGAGCAUUCUGAACUCCACCAAAGAUGGAAUUGAACCAAAUAUGGCACACAGAACUCCCAUGACGAACAGAAAAUAUAUAUCAAUGAUUGGUUGGGGGGGGGGGCACCAAAUUACUGUUUGCUUACCGUUGCAAAUUACCUAGGGCCGCCUCUGAGCAAAGCACAGCUCUCUUUAGAUAAAACCAAUUCAUUAAGGUAAAGACGUUAAAGGCAAAGAAUCAUGAGUAGAAAUGGCAGGACAUAUAGUAGCCAAUACCUGUGGAUUCCUGAAAUCCCUCCAGUUUUCCCAAUUUGCAAAAUGAAUGUUAAUUGCUAACCACUUUGUAAUCAGACAUUUACUUACAAUUGCUUUAUUGAUGGCAUAUGAGUAAAAGCAGACUAAAACACAACGGUUUUGGCUUUGGCUGGUUUCUUAUCGUUGUUCGGUGUUUGUAACCAGACAAACUGUAGUGUCUGAAUAUUUGUAAUGACAACUAUAUUCUGCAGCUGCCUGGCUUUUGAAUCCAUGCGACUCUUUUAGAAUGUGCAGUUACUUGUUAAAAGGUCUCUUACUGUAUCUGUAAAGUUCAUGUUGUUUCAUGUCAGUUCUUGCCAGGAAUUUUCUCAACACCAAUGGAUUUUUAUUUCCAGUAUUUCAAUAAAUAUUGAUAUGGCC